rnacentral:misc_RNA from 1 species
GCGUACCGUAAAAUCCUAAAAACGGAGAAGUAUAAUAUAGUACUGGAUUCAACUGGUUAUAUUCUAAAAGGCAAAGAAACGAUUCUUUUUUGUUUUUGAAAAAAUGGAAUCAUCGGCAGAGCGACGCCUGAAAGCUAUUCAAAGCCAUCUUGUUCCGGCCACCGACGACGUGUCUCGGUCAUUGAUCCGUUCAAACCCAACUGCCGGCGAAUUUUUACUAGGUCAGGGGUUCAGCGUAGUUCUUCCUGAGAAAUUGCAGACAGGAAAAUGGAAUGUAUACAGAUCUGCACGAUCUCCUCUUAAGCUUGUUACUAGAUUUCCCGAUCAUCCUGAAAUUGGGACAUUGCACGAUAACUUUGAACAUGCGAUUCAAACCUUUCAGGAUUACAAAUAUUUGGGUUCACGCAUUCGGGUAGAUGGAACUGUUGGAGAUUACAAAUGGAUGACAUAUGGAGAGGCAGGGACUGCUCGGACUGCAAUUGGUUCUGGACUUCACUAUUAUGGAUUACAACCGGGUGCUCGUGUGGGACUUUACUUCAUAAAUAGGCCUGAGUGGAUGAUUGUAGACCAUGCCUGCUCAGCAUAUUCAUAUACUUCAAUCCCUCUAUAUGACACUCUUGGUCCUGACGCUGUUAAAUAUAUUGUUAAUCAUGCUGAUGUACAAGCCAUUUUUUGUGUGCCAACUACCUUGAACACUUUGUUGACCUUUUUAUCAGAGAUUCCAUCUGUACGUUUGAUUGUGGUAGUGGGUGGGAUAGAUGAACAUCUCCCAUCUCUUCCAUCUACAACGGGAAUGAAGCUCUUAUCAUAUACAAGGCUUCUGAGUCAGGGCCGCAGCAGUAUGCAACCCUUUUGCCCUCCCAGGCCUGAAGAUAUUGCUACCAUAUGCUAUACAAGUGGUACUACGGGGACACCAAAGGGUGUCGUAUUAUCCCAUGCAAACCUGAUAGCAAGUGUUGCAGGCAUGACCCUUGCAAUCAAGUUUUAUCCAUCUGACAUAUACAUAUCCUAUCUUCCCCUGGCACACAUCUAUGAACGUGCCAACCAAAUUACAUCGGUAUAUUCUGGUGUUGCGGUUGGAUUCUACCAGGGGGACAAUCUGAAAUUGAUGGAU